GCCCAGAGAAAGAGGAACCAUGCAGUUUCAGUACUUAGUCCACGAGUUGGAACACUGAGCAAACUUAGCUGGUUUGUAGGUGACAAGUCCCACCUGUAGAAGAUAACACUGAAUUAGCCUAAUAGCUGAUCUGCCUCCAGCUUUUUGGAUUGUUUUGUGGAAGUGUUGGAGAAUGGCUGAUAAGACUAGACAGUCGUUUCCUCUUGAAGACUCCAUCUGUGCACUUUGUGAGGGUUAUUUAACCGCCCCUGUGAUUCUAAGAUGCUGCCACAGGUUGUGUAAAAGCUGCCUACACUGUUACUGGGAGUUAACAGGGUCCCUCAGAUGCCCUGUUUGUUUGAGAGAGCCAUCAUGUGAAGUUCUCCUACACAGCUUGGGUUCCAUGCCUGGUUCAAAUGGUGCAGAGGCUGCCAGCUCUAACCUUCUGGUGGUGAAGAACAAAGGAAGUAAGAUGACACAACCAAAGAUGGGGCUUCCAAGGGCUGUGAGCACCGUGGCAUCAGCUGGAAGUGAGAAGAGUGGUACUGCAAACCGGAUGUCGAUGAAGAUCAAAUACGGGCCAAUAGCUCAGAAGAAAACAGCUACUUUCAGCUUGAAAGAAACCAUCACAUGUGGGUUUAAACCAAAGAUUGAGCAGUCCAGGAGAAACAAAUUAAAGGAUGAUGAGCAGCUUGUAAACACUGAAAUUUGCUCCCGCAACCAAAAACCAGAUUCCACUGAUCAGCUGACAUCAAGCAAAAUUGCUGUGAGUCUGAAAGUAGCACAAGCUAGCCUAAAAACCCAGUCUCCUGUUAUGGGUUUGAGGUCCAACCUGUGUACUGAGUGUGGCAAGAGUUUCAAGAGCAAAUCUGCCCUGAAAGCACACCAGAAAUCCCACUCCUUAUGGCGGCCGCAUCGGUGCCCCACCUGUGGAAAGAAAUAUACUAGCAAGCAUGAGCUUAAGUUGCAUAUGCGGCUACAUAAGGGCGAGAAGCUCUUCCACUGCUCGUACUGCGAGAAGAAGUUCAUCAGGAAGAGUGGCCUGGAGACCCACGUAAGGAGCCACACCGGAGAGAAGCCUUUCACUUGUUCCCUAUGUGGAAGAAGCUUCAGUCAGAGGUAUGCGCUUAAAUUGCACCUGCGGAGACAUGAGGGUGAGAAGCCACACCAAUGUGACCACUGCGGAAAACUGUUUGUCACGCCAGCGACCUUGAAGGAUCAUAGGUUAACACAUAUGAAAGAGAAGCCCUUUCCUUGCCCUCAGUGUGAUAAGAAGUUCAUUCGGAAGAAUGACCUGAGUGUUCACUUGCACAGUCACACGGGGCAGUUGCCCUUCGGCUGCACCGUGUGUGGGAAGCGCUUUCUGAGGAAGCCGACCCUCAAGCUGCAUGAACUCAUUCACAAGGAGGACCGCCCCUUCCAGUGCCUGCUCUGCGAUAGCCGCUUCCGGAGAGGCUCCCACCUCGAUGCGCACAUUAAGACCCACUCUACCGACAAACCAUACAAAUGCUCAUAUUGUGACAAAUCCUUCAAGCAAGCCUAUAGCGUCGUACUUCAUACGCGCAUACAUACAGGAGAGAAGCCCUACAGUUGUGACCAGUGUGGGAAGUGUUUCAUAUCAUCGGGUGAUGUGUCGAAACACCGGCGUGUCCACAUGGCGAUGAAAGAGUACAAGUGCUCUCAGUGCGAGAAGAGCUUUCGUUACAGAACCUCCCUGACGAUCCAUCUGAGGAUACACACAAAUGAGAGACCUUAUGAAUGCCAGCAGUGCGGUAAAACUUUCGCAGCCUUAUCACGUCUACGGUGCCACGAGGAAGUGCACAGCAAUGAGCGACGCCACCGUUGUCCAGACUGCGGCCAGGGUUUCAACAACCACAGCACCCUGAAGUCCCACCGGAUGACCCAUGGCCCCAGGCCACAGUUUAAGUGCACCACUUGUGGGAGGAUCUUCACCCGCAAGGACACCUUCAGAGCACACCAAGCGAUUCAUUCAGGUGCCAAAGUCUACGACUGCCCAGAAUGCGGGAAGAGCCUGAGCUGUUCAAGCAGUUUUCGUCUACAUGUACAGAGCCACACACAGAAGACGAUGUACCCCUGCAUUGAUUGCGACAAGAGUUUCAGCAGCAAGGCAUACCUAAUGAAACACCAACACAAGGUGCAUACUACAUAGACACUGUAUGCUUGUUCAAAGUGUAGAGAGAGCUUUAACUCCCCUGGGAAACUGGCUACACAUCAAACAUCCAAGGACUAAGGAACAUGUGGUAGCAGUGUCAGAAGGCUUUUAGACAGAUGAUGACCCUCCAACAGCACAAGAAGCUCCAUUCUGCUGUAAGACCAUCAGUGCCAGGAAUGUUUACAAGGAUGUACAGCCUGAGAUACCAGCUAGGCGAGAUUGUUGUCUGCGUUGCUAUGGACCAGCUGUCUGCAUGCCAACCUUCAUGGUCAAAGGUUAAUGAAUUAGCAGAUACUGGCUACAUUAACUCCAAUGCUGCUGACCAGUUAUUGUUAAAACUGUGUUAGAAUGAUCAGCAGAGCUUUACUUCGCUGCAAACGAGGAUUAUUUUAUUUGACCUAAAAAUGUAAUUCUGCUGUGGAGCCACAAGAGGGCAGUUUAAAAAAAAGAGCUGCAUGCGGUUGCCGACCCCUGUUUAAGUACAUACAAUGGACCAUUUAUUCUGAAACAAAAAGGAGAAUUUCACCCAUUUUUAUUUUUUCAAAAUGAAAUGGUAAAUCUGUAAACAAAUUUUGGGUUUUUGUUUUUUGUAUUUUGAGCUGAUCUUUUUUGUGGGGCUGACUAAAGUUGUGCUUAUUAUUUCUGAUUAAUAAAAUAUGUAUUCCCCA